GUUUUCUUGACUGAAAAAUUGUUUCUUUGCAGAGCAGCAGGAGGAGGAAGGAGCGAGCUUAGUGUGGUAGCACUUCUCACGAAGAAGGGAGCUUCGCUACCCAGACUGCGCUGCUGACGGAGCAAGGAUGGGGUGUCUGUGGAGCUAGGCCAAGGGAGCAGCGCUGCUGGUUCGGGGACUGAAGCCGGUUGACUAUUGAGUGUGACCUACCUCGGGCAAGCAGGGCGAGUCGGGCAUCGCCAGGGGCCAGCGGCGCUGUUUCUCUUAUGGCGUGGCGACCCUGUCGACACCCCUGGGCGAAGGGAGCAGUGCUGCUUCACCUCCACCCUCGCUGACGUGAGAUGGCAGUGAGUUCAACACGCCGCUACCGUGGCAGUGGUGGCCUCUCAGGUGAUUAUUUUGGUUCCCCUUUGAUGUUGUUUCAGCCAUCGAGGGUGCGUUCAGGUGUGCAUCUACAUUCUUUGAUGUUCUGUUUCUUUGGGGGCUGCUGAAAUUCUCGAUGAUGUUUGUCUGCCACAUGGGUUGUGCUGUAUGCACUAGUAUUGUCUGAGUUGAAGUAUACUAUUUGUUGUGCAGGUUUGAAUUUCCAAAAAAGAGGGUAGGUCAUGACAAAAAUUGCAGUAUUCCCUGGUUGUUGUCUUUAGUUGGUAUAUAUUCCUUAGUUGCUAUUUCGUCCUAGCUGUUUGGGCCAGAAUUUCUGCUUGUCUCAGCUCUAAUUUUUCAUCCAAAAUAUUUGAAACCAUCGGACAUGACAGCAGCUUUGACAGAGCAAUGACAUUCACUGUUCAGUUGUGUGGAGUUUGUGUUUAGUUAAGGCCUCUGAUUGAGUUAUCAUGUUUGGUCGGACUAGUGAGUCGAGUUUGGAUGCAUAAAUAGCCGUGUCAUGUGCCACACUUUUUGCUGUUCUGUUAUCUGAAUUAUGGUCUGGAUGUGCAAAAGAAUAACAAGGUCAUGGCAAAUUUUUCAACACAAUUGCUGAUUAAAGUUGCAUCGGUUACUUAGGUGAACGAAAUACUAUUGUUUCUUGAAUAAAUCUGCUGAUGUAGAGCUGACCACCAUCAUGUGGUUUUUUCUUGU